GAGAAGGUUCUUCAGUAGCCUGAAAUGAAGAAAAUGCACCCAUGUGGUGCAGAGAUGGGCUGGGCUCAGGGCCAGGAGGUGGAGCAUGCAGCAGCAAAAUCGUCAUGCCUUUUCCCAACAUGGGAACACGUGGCAAGAGUGGAAAUGGGAAAUGAAGGGCAGUUGCUGCUUUCUUUUUGGUUCACCCUGCUGGGUUCUGGUUGUGGAUAGCAGCAAUCUGUCCUUUUAAUAAUGGCAGGAAAAAGGGUGCAAAAUAAGAUAGCAAGGAACCCAAUGAGUUUGUAUGAGUUUGUAUGAGUUAGAUUGACUAGGUAAGGUAACAUCAACUUUCCGUAGCACGAGAUUUGUUCUGGGAAGGUGGACUGCGUGAUUUGUGCCAGCAAGGUGGUUUCCCACAUCUAAAAGGUGGUCUCUUGCCCACCGACACACGUAGAGGGUGUGGAAAGAGGCUGUAGGACCUUCAGCCAUGGCAGAGAGUCAGCCCACAGCAGGAAAUAUCAAAGCACAGGCUGGGAGACAGUACAUUUGGAGAGAGAGCACACACAGAAUUUGGAUGCAAUAGAUGCCUUUCCAAACUGGGCUCCAGAAAGUACAGUGGGCUUACAUUAUCUCCUAACAUUGGGCCAUAGCAAAUAUAUGCCAGCAGAAUGGGUACAGCUAUGGCCUGCCGUCUUGAUUCUACAUCAGGGGUCUGCAUCAUCCUCUCGCUGAUUCUAAGACAAAGAGUCUUUCUUUUUUCUAAAGCUGGCUACUCCCAAAGUGGCAUAAAGCACCCAAAAGCCUCAUCCAAACCACAGCCACAGCGGAUGACUGUCACAUCCAUGCACACUCUCUCUUGCAGAGGCACGCGCACACAAGGCUUAUAGAAAACAUCAUGCUGUUCCUCCUCACAAUUCUUGGCAUGCAAAGAUAUGUCUUUUACUUUCAUGAAUUCAGCUGUAUACAUCUUUGUGAUAAAUGGUAUAGCUCAGAACUGGGGAAUGCCUGUAAAAUAGCUCCGCAAUGCAUAAAUGUAUUUUGGAAGUUAGGCUUUAUUACCUAGCAGUGUAUCAACAUGAGAAAGAAGCGUUAUCUUAUUAUGGAAUGGGAUGAAACAAACUUCCUCCUGUGAAAUACUGAUUUCCAAACCAGUUACCUUUAAGCUGAGGUUGAAGAUAAAGAUUGUUUCUGGGUAAAAUGCUUCAAUUUGUGGCUAAAUUCCGUAAUAAACUAUGCAUAUAUCAGAAUGACUUUCUCUGGCUUGGGGUGGUGAAGUGUGUUGUUUUCAUUAUUGCUGAGUUUCAAAAUGGCUUCAGGAAUUUUGUCGGCCCUUUCCAAAAAAACUCAACUUCGGGCAGAGAUUAAAGCAAAGGAAAUUUCAGCCCAAGGGCAAAUGUUUCACCAAGUUUAAAGUAUGUGAAACAGGGAGUUCAGGAGGAAAUAGUUCUCAAUCCUAACUAUAGCCACGCUAGCUAUAAUAUAUGGCUAAAUAUAGACCAGUGGGUGUGUCCAGCUUUCUGAAGGUGUUAUCCUUCCUCCUCUAAGACUUGCUUCUAAAAUGACCUUUCCAGGGAUAUAAUGAACCGUGUCAUAUUGCCCGUGUUGGAAAAUGUUAAGCUGUGUUAUUUCCCAGGUGAGCCCAGCCAAGCCCGGCUUUGCUCCGCGACCAAAAUUCCUUUCGUAAAAUUCAACCUUUUAUCUUUCAUGUGAAUCCAGCUUUGGGUUCAUUGAUCUCCAAGCAAACUGCACGAUAGCCCUGGAUAUUUUGUUUAUGUGUUAAAGGUUCUCACUUGGGUCACAAACCUCUGCAAAAAUACCGGGGUCAAAGAGCUAAAAACAUUGCUUUUGCUUUUGCAUCAGCUUCAGAAUGCCAGCCCUAAUGGUCUGGGCAGGCUGCACAUCCAAACUCCCUUGGACUUGCUGCUUGUGGUUGUGGGAAUAUGUUGGCUGCUCUGUUUUUGUGCAUUUCAUGUUUGGAGUGCCUACCGCAGAAACGGGAUGACUUUUCUCGCCUGCUGAUAUGGAUGUGGCUGCAGCAACAGAAAAGACAGUGUUAUAUUAAGGUGAUUUUCUCUUCCCCUCCACGGAAGGAACAAAAAAACACAAGCUCCAAUGUCUCCGCAUGGCAGUGAGUGGGCUGGUUUGUUGUGACUAUCUGCUGGCUGACUCCGUCUCUCUUUCCAGCCCCCUCAAUCGUUACUCUUGUUUACUAGCUGGAACAUUUAGCUAAUUAAUGGCAGGAUGUUUGGGAUAGCGUGUAGGUGGAUAAGAAUGCAGAUCGCACCAGUUUGAUGUUUGCAGGCGACUUGCUGCUGUCAGCCCCUUUGUAAAACGCCAUGUCAUCUUUGCUCAGUUGUUUGGAAGUCUGUGUGUUUUGGUAGCAGUGUUGUUUUGGGAGGCAGGACGGGGCAGAAAGAGGCCAAAGAUAUUCUGAGUUUUCCAAGAUUUUUACAAAAAGUCAAAAACCUGCACUGCUUUCCACUGCGUUUCCUCCAAGUCAUUCCUUCCAGCUCAAUGCAGGAAGGGGCUUUUAGAUAAGAGCAGCAGUAGAGAGGAGCUUGGGCAACCUACACUUUAUCACAAAGGCUUGUCACAGACCCAGAAGCAAAGCAGCCAGCCCCGAAUUCCCAGUGCUGCCAUCUCUGCCUGCUGCACUCCCAUAGGAGCCCAACCCACCAGGGGAAGGCUCUGCAGCCAUUUGGCACAAAUCUGCCCCGCUCCCUCAGCAUUUCCCAAAGUAUCCAAACAACCGUGGCCACCUCAGUGAUUCUAGAUGCAGCCUGCAUGCAGCGUGCUGCCCGAGGAGAUGUUUUCCCCAUCACCAACAAAAGCAAUGCUGCUGUUGGAUUCGAAGAAGAAAUACGCCCUUCAUUGUCUUUCUGUAUUUCAGCUCACUUUGUUUUCAGAUUUACUUUUUCAAUCUCAGUCCCUCACUCUACAAUUCUUCCCGUCCCCCUCUCCUCCAGCCCGGGCUGUCCUCACCGACGGAUUCGUUUCUUCACAUCAAAUCCGUACAAAUAUAGAGCUAACCACAAGGAGCUGAACCAGAGAGAAGGGCUUAUGCCUCAGCCCAUCCCUGCGAUCUGCUGCCUGUGUCCCUAGGGCAGCCCAGGGGUCUGCGUCAGCCGCCUGGAGCACAGGCUUCAAAUCUGACUUAAACCUCAAAUUAAGACGGAGCACUCAAGGGAUCAAGGGGAGAUCAGCAAAAUAUUACUUUUAUAUAGUGCAGCCGUCCUCCUCCUUUGUGCUGAGUAUGUGAGGUCUUAACUUUUACUCCCACCGCAUGGUAUUGUGGUCAUUUGUAAGUGGUUUUCUUGCCCGGCUUUCCUGGACCUGCUUGCGAAAGCUUUGGAAGUAUCUGUAUUUUAAACAAACAGAAAAAUGCCUCUUCUCUUUGCAACCGAAAUGCUGCCAACGUGAACUUUGUACGUCAAAUAUUACUGCCGCUCGUCAGUUGUUUUGUUUGGUUUCUUUUUGUACCUGCUUACCCUUCUGUAUUCUGGAAUUAAUCUAUGUGCAAAGGAGUACAAGCAUACACCACCGGGUAUUAAACGGAGUUGAGAAGCUUUCUGAUGUUCCAUCUGUGCUUGUUGAAAUAUAUGAUUAAACUUUUCUUUUUACCAUCAUU